rnacentral:lncRNA from 1 species
CCUAAACUUUAUAGUCCUAGGCUAUCCCCAAGUCAAUAUACUACCUCUCCAGAAUAUUGAAGAAUCUUCAUUUACCAAAGAACAUAGCCAGUAAUUUACUGUGUAUUAAUUUACAAUAGAAAUAAUAAACUUAGUAUAAUAAACUCAGUCUUAGUUCAGAUUUGCAUGAACUGAAAGAGAAGGUCAAAUCUAUGGGAGAGAAAAGUCAAGAAGGAUAUAGGAAGAUAUACAUAAUUGCAGUUAGCUGGGGAACAAUUCAAUAGGCAUAGGGGAAAGAUUUAUGACACCAGGAUAUCAUCCUAUGGUUUCAGGCCUCAACAAACACAUGCAGAUUCCCUGGGAAAGAGUUAGAAAGAACCAGAGAGAGAAGCAGGAGGAGGUUAAGCAGGUCUGGCCCCAGAAUCUCAGAGGGAAAGUGGAAUGCUGACCAGAAAACAUGUUUGGAAGCCCAAUUGCAAGGUUUAGGUCAAAAUAAGAGGUGUCAUAGAAAGGGUUAGAGAUGAGCCCACAUAUUGGCACCUGGGACAGAGGCAGCAAGACUCUCUCUGAAUCCUUAUGUGCCCUUAGCACAAAAAAGAGCACCUCGUUGGUCUGUAGUUGUAGUAGGGGUCUCAGCUGCUCCACAUGAGAAACCUGUUGUUGGGCUGUUCUGAAUUCAAUUACCCCAGACAUGGCCCCUUUUAUUUCUGUACCUACCAGAAUUUCACCUUCUGAAUUUUUUAUCCUCUGUUUAUCUCUGUUGUGUUGAAGGAAGACCACACAAUUCAAGAACACAGUGGGGGAUUACCUACACCGUGCGCUUUCAAGGAGAAAACAGAAUUUUUUACCUUAAAGUUCCUACCAAUGAAUAUACUAGCAUCUGGGAUUUCCUACCUCUUUGGGUAUUGUUACUUUCCAAUGAUCUUUUUAUCUUUUAUCUAUCUAUUGUUCUUCCUACUUUUCUUCCUAUCAUAUCUAUCUUAACUGAAUAAUGUCUAAGAAAGAUGACCUCUUUAGCCAACAUAUAUGAUGUUUAGCUUCCACGGAAAUAAUUUAUCACAUGAGGAGAAAUGGAAGACAUGACAAUGGCAUUUUUAAAAUAGAAGAGGAGGCAGUGUGAAGGCAUGAGAAUUCAGAAUGAAGGGGGGGAAGAGAAAGAAAGAGAGAGAGAGAGAGAUUGAGAGAGAGACUGAUAUAGUAUUUGGGUUAUUCAGAGGAGUUGCAGGAAUCGUGAAAAAAUAGUGCUGUGCCUGUCCUUUUGGGCAUGACUACCAUUUAUCAAGUGACUAUUACAUUAUGCUGCAGGCACCAUGCCAACUGCUGUAUAUGUAGCAUCUCAUGGACAACUCUCUCAUGUAUGUGUGCUUUUAUCCCUUUUAAAGAUGAGCGAUUGAGGAUCCAAGAGCUUAACACAAGUUACGCAGCGAGAAGUAGAGGUGCUUACUGGAUCUCAGAGGAAGAGUCAAGACCAUAACCCAGGGACACUUGCAAUGCCUACCCAGGUUUUUCAUGUCACCCUUCUACUACUGCAUGCACAGAUGCAGCUGUCAACUUUAGGAACACUGCUUUCAAACCUUUUCGAAGUUAUUUUUUUACCAUCUUCUUUAAUACUAUACUCCUUUAGAGAGAAAUAUCACUUUCUAAUACUUUUUAAAUUUUUCUAUUUUUAUGAAGUGUUAGAUAAAUGUUGAAUGUAUGCAAAACAAACACACAGCAACAAGAAUAGCCAAAGAAACCAUUUGGCUUGCUUCUUCUGCUGUCGUCUUCUUGCCUUUAAGCUUGUGUUCUCCCUAACUUUUAAACUCAAAAGAAUUUUUUGUCAACAUUAAAAGUUUUCUGAUAAGUAUUCUGAAUAUGUUUACUGAGG